rnacentral:lncRNA from 1 species
GGUAUUUGCAGGUGGUGGGAGAUGCUUUCUUAAAGAGGGGUCACAACCUCAUGAACUUUCAGAUGUUGCAACAAAUUGGGAAACAAAACUUUUUUUUUCCUUUUCAAAUAUAGACUGCUCGAUUUCCAGAUGGACAGCUCCCUCUUCUGUUUGGUUUGCAGAAUUUGGGUCUUUUGAAAACACAUUGGCAGAUACACCAUUUUGUCAUCUUGGCUGUCUAUCUUGGCUGAAGCUGAAUUGCUAUUUGCAGAACAACAAAUUUGUCCCAUUUCAAGAGCAGCAAGAGAAAUGGCAACUGACACUGGCUAGGAACUCGACUCCGGAACACACACAGACCUGGAUGCUGAUUCCUACCAGUUAUGUGACCUUGGACUAGAUAAUUUCUCUAGCCUUCAGUUUUCUUAUCUGUAGGUUGUGGGGAUGUGCCUACUUAUGUUUGUUGUAAAAAUUCAGCCAGUGAUAUCCCUGUAGACAACAGCACAGAGCUAGGCACAUCACCAUCUGAAACAUUUGAGCUGGUUGCUUCCAGUUCUCACCUUCCCUCCCAGUCUCCACUCUUCUG